GAGAAAGUGGCUCAGUCGGGUAGGGGUUUGGCUUUGGCUCUGAGGGUCAGGGGUUCGAGUCCCCGUUGUGUUA